ACCGGCGCACGGGUGAGUAACACGUAUCCAACCUGCCGAUAACUCGGGGAUAGCCUUUCGAAAGAAAGAUUAAUACCCGAUGGCAUAAUAGAACCGCAUGGUUUGAUUAUUAAAGAAUUUCGGUUAUCGAUGGGGAUGCGUUCCAUUAGGCAGUUGGUGGGGUAACGGCCCACCAAACCUUCGAUGGAUAGGGGUUCUGAGAGGAAGGUCCCCCACAUUGGAACUGAGACACGGUCCAAACUCCUACGGGAGGCAGCAUG
rnacentral:rRNA from 1 species